UCCCAGUAGGAGGGAAAAGGUCCCUCGAUUG
rnacentral:piRNA from 1 species